CUUUCUCCCCCCAAGGGCAACCCCCCUUUUCUCUCACCUUCUCUCUACCCUUUUAAACCCCCGCUUAGUGUGCCUUUGUCAUGGGCCUAUUGUGACUAGCCCUUUAUGUUCAAUUAGCUUUCGACUGUGAGAAAAGACCGAAAAACAAAAUGAAACAUUUUUUUUCUCAAGGUCAUGCCUUGGAUAUUGCAUUCAAUUAUAAUCAAAGGAUUAAAACAGAUUUUUCUCAAGGUUCAUAUGUAUAUUUAUAUAAAAAAUCAUGAAACACUUCUACAAUCUAUUUGAGUAUUUUUCAUUAUGUUUCAUUAACUUUACCUUAGGUUACAAUGAUAAUUUUAAAUUAU
rnacentral:lncRNA from 1 species